GCUGGCGGCGUGCCUAAUACAUGCAAGUCGAACGCUUCUUUCCUCCCGAGUGCUUGCACUCAAUUGGAAAGAGGAGUGGCGGACGGGUGAGUAACACGUGGGUAACCUACCCAUCAGAGGGGGAUAACACUUGGAAACAGGUGCUAAUACCGCAUAACAGUUUAUGCCGCAUGGCAUAAGAGUGAAAGGCGCUUUCGGGUGUCGCUGAUGGAUGGACCCGCGGUGCAUUAGCUAGUUGGUGAGGUAACGGCUCACCAAGGCCACGAUGCAUAGCCGACCUGAGAGGGUGAUCGGCCACACUGGGACUGAGACACGGCCCAGACUCCUACGGGAGGCAGCAGUAGGGAAUCUUCGGCAAUGGACGAAAGUCUGACCGAGCAACGCCGCGUGAGUGAAGAAGGUUUUCGGAUCGUAAAACUCUGUUGUUAGAGAAGAACAAGGACGUUAGUAACUGAACGUCCCCUGACGGUAUCUAACCAGAAAGCCACGGCUAACUACGUGCCAGCAGCCGCGGUAAUACGUAGGUGGCAAGCGUUGUCCGGAUUUAUUGGGCGUAAAGCGAGCGCAGGCGGUUUCUUAAGUCUGAUGUGAAAGCCCCCGGCUCAACCGGGGAGGGUCAUUGGAAACUGGGAGACUUGAGUGCAGAAGAGGAGAGUGGAAUUCCAUGUGUAGCGGUGAAAUGCGUAGAUAUAUGGAGGAACACCAGUGGCGAAGGCGGCUCUCUGGUCUGUAACUGACGCUGAGGCUCGAAAGCGUGGGGAGCAAACAGGAUUAGAUACCCUGGUAGUCCACGCCGUAAACGAUGAGUGCUAAGUGUUGGAGGGUUUCCGCCCUUACAGUGCUGCAGCAAACGCAUUAAGCACUCCGCCUGGGGAGUACGACCGCAAGGUUGAAACUCAAAGGAAUUGACGGGGGCCCGCACAAGCGGUGGAGC
rnacentral:rRNA from 1 species